UCAUAAUGUCUUUCUUUCUAACUGCAUCUACCCUUAUCAUUUUUGUUGCUAUGAACGGGUAUAGGGUCAAGUGCAAACAACCAACAAUUUAAAUAAUAAAGAAAUACACAGUCUGACCAAUAUCCACUUAUAUAAUUGCAUUUUGGCAUUUCUAAACUAAAUCAACGGUUACAGUCAUACGCCUUAAAACCAUAGCUAAUAUCAGCAAUUAAUUGCAGUUAAACAGCGUGAUUAUGUAAAAAAAAAAAAAGACAAUUAGA